UACGAAGGGGGCUAGCGUUGCUCGGAAUGACUGGGCGUAAAGGGCGCGUAGGCGGAGUGCUUUGUCAGGCGUGAAAUUCCAGGGCUUAACCUUGGGGCUGCGUUUGAGACGGGCAUUCUUGAGUAUGGAAGAGGGUCGUGGAAUUCCCAGUGUAGCGGUGAAAUGCGUAGAUAUCGGAAGGAACACCUGUGGCGAAAGCGGCUCACUGGACCAUUACUGACGCUGAGGCACGAAAGCUAGGGGAGCAAACAGG
rnacentral:rRNA from 1 species